AGGAUUAACGCUGGCGGCGUGCCUAACACAUGCAAGUCGAACGAGGUAGCAAUACCUAGUGGCAGACGGGUGAGUAACGCGUGGUCAACCUACCGUUGAGUGGGGGAUAACUAGCCGAAAGGUUAGCUAAUACCGCAUACGAGUCUCGGGGGCAUCCCUGGGCCUUAAAAGGAGCAAUCCGCUCGAUGACGGGACCGCGUCCCAUUAGCUAGAUGGUGGGGUAAUGGCCUACCAUGGCACCGAUGGGUAGCUGGUUUGAGAGAGCGACCAGCCACACUGGGACUGAGAAACGGCCCAGACUCCUACGGGAGGCAGCAGUGAGGAAUUUUCCGCAAUGGGCGAAAGCCUGACGGAGCGACGCCGCGUGUGGGAAGAAGGCCUUCGGGUCGUAAACCACUGUCGAAGGGGACGAUAAUGACGGUACCCUUGGAGGAAGCCCCGGCUAACUACGUGCCAGCAGCCGC
rnacentral:rRNA from 1 species